GGGCGGAGUGAUCCGACGGAAAGUGCCACAGAAACUAUACCGCCCGCCUGUGCGGGUAAGGGUGAAAUCGUGGUGUAAGAGACCACGGCCGACGCCAGAGAUGGCGCGGUGGGUAAACCCCGUCCGGAGCAAGGCCAAAUAGGGGAAGAAGGGUCUGGUUCGGCCUGUUAGUAUUCCCGGGUAGGUCGCUUGGAGGUUGCAGGCAACUGUCGCCCCAGAUAAAUGACUGUUGUGGUCCUCUUUUAUGAGGGCCUGACAGAACUCGGCUUAUCCUCCUGCUUUCGUG
rnacentral:RNase_P_RNA from 1 species